rnacentral:rRNA from 1 species
AGAGUUUGAUCCUGGCUCAGAAUGAACGCUGGCGGCGUGCCUAACACAUGCAAGUCGGAUGUGCCGCAAGGUGCAUGGCAGACGGGUGAGUAACGCGUAGGGAAUCUACCUCUUUGUGGGGAAUAACGCUCCGAAAGGAGUGGUAAUACCGCAUGAGACCGAGUGCUGGGAUGCAUUCGGUGAAACCUGGGGACCGCAAGGCCUGGGGCAAGGAGAGGAUCCUGCGUCUGAUUAGCUAGUUGGCGGGGUAAUGGCCCACCAAGGCGACGAUCAGUAGCCGGCCUGAGAGGGUGAUCGGCCACACUGGAACUGAGACACGGUCCAGACUCCUACGGGAGGCAGCAGUGGGGAAUUUUGCGCAAUGGACGAAAGUCUGACGCAGCAACGCCGCGUGGGUGAUGAAGGUCUUCGGACUGUAAAACCCUGCCGUCAGGGACGAAGGUG